rnacentral:rRNA from 1 species
CAUUAAGGCAUUCCCACCUUGGGGAGUACGGCCGGCAACGGUGAAACUUCAAGGGAAUUGACGGGGGGCCCGCACAAGCCGGAGGAACAUGUGGUUUAAUUCGAUGAUACGCGAGGAACCUUACCCGGGCCUGAAUUGCAGAGGAAGGAUGCAGAGAUGCUGACGCCCUUCGGGGCCUCUGUGAAGGUGCUGCAUGGUUGUCGUCAGCUCGUGCCGUGAGGUGUCGGCUUAAGUGCCAUAACGAGCGCAACCCUUGCUGUCAGUUGCCAUCAGGUAGAGCUGGGCACUCUGGCGGGACUGCCAUCGCAAGAUGUGAGGAAGGUGGGGAUGACGUCAAAUCAGCACGGCCCUUACGUCCGGGGCUACACACGUGUUACAAUGGGGGGUACAGAAUGUUGCUUACGGGUGACCGUUGGCGGAUCAUUAAAUCCCCUCUCAGUUCGGACUGGAGUCUGCAACCCGACUCCACGAAGCUGGAUUCGCUAGUAAUCGCGCAUCAGCCAUGGCGCGGUGAAUACGUUCCCGGGCCUUGUACACACCGCCCGUCAAGCCAUGAAAGCCGGGGGCGCCUGAAGUCCGUUACCGCAAGGAUCGGCCUAGGGCGAAACUGGUAAUUGGGGCGAAGUCGUAACAAGGUAGCCGUA